AACUGAAUAACUUGAUUGAAUGAUUAAUAUGAUCUGUUGCCCCUGUAUCCACUAUCCAGAUCAGAAAAAGAAAAUAAAGCUAAAUCCUGGCUGCUGUUCAAUGGUAGAGACAAGAUUAGAAGCAUGUGUAGCGGUAGUAGCCGGUGUAGUAGUCAUUUGUUGAAAAAGAUUGCUAUCCAUAUGAGUUUUAUGAAGAAGAGUCAUCAGAUUAUCAUACUGAUCUUGAGUAAGGGCAAGUUUAGACUGGUCUAGGAUGCCACUUCCCUGAGAAUUAUUAAUG
rnacentral:lncRNA from 1 species